CACAAGCUGGACUACCUUGGAUAGGUCCUUAAUUAGAAAUGGAAAUCAACACGGUGUUGAGUGUGUUAUAAUCACUACUAGAUAGAGAGUAGUAGUUGGAUUACUUGGAUUUGCUUCUAGCAUAGUUUUGGACACUUGAGUAUACAUACAUACAUGUAGUAUGCUAGGAGAUGUUGCUUAUUGCAUUCAUAUAUACAUUGUUGCCAUGAUAAAGUAUGAUCUUCAUAACUUCAUAAAGUAAACCGUGACAUUUACUUGUGGCCAUGUAGGGACAUUAUUUAGACAAGUAAAGGUGCAUCAUAUUAACAUCAUGUUUAAUUGCAAUAUAGUAUCUUAGCAUUUUAAUUAUAC
rnacentral:lncRNA from 1 species